AUUGAACGUUGGCGGUAGGCUCAACACAUGCAAGUCGAGCGAGCGGCGGACGGGUGUGUAACGUCUGGGAAACUGCCUGAUGGAGGGGGAUAACUACUGGAAACGGUAGCUAAUACCGCAUACUAUCAGCUGUGCACAGAUGGGCUUAGCUAGUAGGGGGGGUAAUGGCACACCUAGGCGACGAACCCUAGCUGGUCUGGGAGGAUGACCAGCCACACUGGAACUGAGGCCCGGUCCAGACUCCUACGGGAGGCAGCAGAGGGGAAUAUUGCACAUUGAGCGCAGGCCUGAUGCGGCCAUGCCGCGUGUGUGAUGAGGGCCUUCGGGUUGUAAGGCACUUUCAGCGAGGAGGCGUUACUCGCAGAGGAAGCACCGGCUAACUCCGUGCCAGCCGCCGCGGUAAUUC
rnacentral:rRNA from 1 species